GUACAUGUUUACAACAUAGCAUUAAUGCACCAAAUCCCAUUAGAACUCUGCAGUUAAGAACACUUGAGCUAGAGUGGUAUUGGGAUGGGUGACUUCCCAGGAAUUCCUAGUGUUUUAUAUU
rnacentral:rRNA from 1 species